rnacentral:rRNA from 1 species
GGCUUAACACAUGCAAGUCGAGCGCCCCGCAAGGGGAGCGGCAGACGGGUGAGUAACGCGUGGGAACGUGCCCUUUGGUUCGGAACAACUCCGGGAAACUGGAGCUAAUACCGGAUAAGCCCUUACGGGGAAAGAUUUAUCGCCAAAGGAUCGGCCCGCGUCUGAUUAGCUAGUUGGUGAGGUAACGGCUCACCAAGCCAACGAUCUGUAGCUGGUCUGAGAGGACGACCAGCCACACUGGAACUGAGACACGGUCCAGACUCCUACGGGAGGCAGCAGUGGGGAAUUUUGGACAAUGGACGCAAGUCUGAUCCAGCCAUUCCGCGUGCAGGAUGAAGGCCCUCGGGUUGUAAACUGC